GACGAACGCUGGCGGCGUGCUUAACACAUGCAAGUCGAACGGAAAGGCCCUGCUUUUGUGGGGUGCUCGAGUGGCGAACGGGUGAGUAACACGUGAGUAACCUGCCCUUGACUUUGGGAUAACUUCAGGAAACUGGGGCUAAUACCGGAUAGGAGCUCCUGCUGCAUGGUGGGGGUUGGAAAGUUUCGGCGGUUGGGGAUGGACUCGCGGCUUAUCAGCUUGUUGGUGGGGUAGUGGCUUACCAAGGCUUUGACGGGUAGCCGGCCUGAGAGGGUGACCGGCCACAUUGGGACUGAGAUACGGCCCAGACUCCUACGGGAGGCAGCAGUGGGGAAUAUUGCACAAUGGGCGGAAGCCUGAUGCAGCAACGCCGCGUGCGGGAUGACGGCCUUCGGGUUGUAAACUCCUUUCAGCCAUGACGAAGCCCUUGUGGUGACGGUAGUGGUAGAAGAAGCACCGGCUAACUACGUG
rnacentral:rRNA from 1 species